rnacentral:lncRNA from 1 species
CAGUUUGGGAGCAGCUGUUGACUCCAUUAUACAUCAAAACUCUCUCCUCAGACAACUGUAAUUUGACCUUAGAUGGUCACUUCAGCAAACUCUCCAUGGAGAUAUUCAUUGACUAUAGGGAGAAGUCAAGCCUGAGUCUAAGAACAGCCUAGAUGGAACAUCCCAUGAGAAGCAGCAGAGUUUCCUGUACAGUUCAGUCAAAGGCCAGUUCUGUUCUGUAAGUCCUUCUGUAAACAUCUUGAAUUCA